rnacentral:rRNA from 1 species
GACGAACGCUGGCGGCGCGCUUAACACAUGCAAGUCGAGCGAGAACCAGCCUUUCGGGGCUGGGGACAGCGGCGAACGGGUGAGUAACACGUGAGUAAUCUGCCCUCGGCACCGGGAUAGCCCGGGGAAACCCGGAUUAAUACCGGAUGGCCUCCCGAGCUCUCGGGCUCGUGAGAAAAGGUAGCUUCGGCCUCCGGCCGAGGAGGAGCUCGCGGCGGAUUAGCUUGUUGGCGGGGUAACGGCCCACCAAGGCGACGAUCCGUAGCUGGUCUGAGAGGAUGAUCAGCCACACUGGGACUGAGACACGGCCCAGACUCCUACGGGAGGCAGCAGUGGGGAAUCUUGCGCAAUGGGCGAAAGCCUGACGCAGCGACGCCGCGUGGGGGAAGAAGGCCUUCGGGUUGUAAACCUCUUUCAGGAGGGACGAAGCCACUCGGGUUAAUAGCCCAGAGGGUGACGGUACCUCCAGAAGAAGCCCCGGCUAACUACGUGCCAGCCGCCGCAGUAA